GGUCUGUGAUGAGCAGUAAAAGGUCUGAUUACCCACAAUCCUCUCCUGCUGCCCUCCGGCUCCCAGCAGCCCGGCUCUGUGCUCCCAUCAUGCUCUAGUGCUGCAGCGGUGGUCCCAGGAGCUGCUGACAAACAGGAAGUGACAUCACAGUGUGAGUCCGUACAGAGACCCCACGGGCUCGUUGUGAUGUCAUCCGACAGAACCAAUCGGCAUGGAGCGUGAGGAGGGUGGAGGAGGGGGCGGGGCCUGAUCUCAAGUUUUCAACCUGAGACC